rnacentral:misc_RNA from 1 species
GUGAAUCAUCGAAUUUUUGAACGCAAAUUGCACUCUCUUCGGAGAGUAUGCCUGUUUGAGGGUCAGCCUAAAAAAAAAAUCGACAUAGUCGCUGUUUCGCGGUGACGUUCGUCUAAAAUUAGGUCAUCUUAAACCUUUUGGUUUUAAGGGUCUUAAAAUUUUCUUUACGAUUCGACGAUCGGUUCUAAGAUUUACUUCUUAUAGGUUAAUGAUAUCGUUCUUUAUUAUACAUGUCCUUUGCAUCUAAUC